rnacentral:rRNA from 1 species
UCGGUUAGUCGGCACGAGCGCACCUCGUCCUUAGUUGCCAUCGGGUAAUGCCGGGGACUCUAAGGAGACAAUCUUCCUCAGGAAGAGGGAAGGUGGGGAUGACGUCAAGUCAGUAUGGCCCUUACGCCUAGGGCUGCACACGUGCUACAAUGCCCGGUACAAUGAGACGCAAAACUGCAAGGUGGAGCCAAUCUAUAAAACCGGGCCCAGUUCGGAUUGGAGUCUGCAACUCGACUCCAUGAAGUUGGAAUCGCUAGUAACGGCGUAUCAGCAACGACGCCGUGAAUACGUUCCCGGGCCUUGUACACACCGCCCGUCAAGUCAUGAAAGUCGGUUCUGCCCGAAAUGCGUGAGCUAAUCUUCGGAAGGCAGCGCCCUAAGGUAGGGCUGGUGAUUGGGACUAAGUCGUAACAAGGUAGCCGUAGGGGAACCUGCGGCUGGAACACCUCCUUUCU